rnacentral:lncRNA from 1 species
GUAACAGAAGAUAAUGGAACAAUUGCAUCUUGACAUUGUUAUUGUUAUGAGUAUGCUAGACAGCAUAUCAUUGCUUUCUCUUUCUUUACCUACCUCCCCUUCUUGUGUGAGUGUGACUACCACUAGUGAGGAUCUGAUCCAGAGCCUUGUGCAUGUUAGCCAGAGAAACACUCUUUCUAAAGGGAGAACACUACUUUAUUUAGACAGUGAGUGGAGUGAUGCCUGUGUAGAAAGAAGUGAAAUGUCUUCCUUUAUCACUUGGCCUGUUUUUAUUUUUUAUUUUAUGUGUAUGAGUGUCCCGCUUGCAUGGUAUGUGUACCACAUACUUGCCUGGUGCCCAUAGAGAUCAGAAGGCAAUAGUUAUCUAGAACUUGAGUUAGGAAUGGUUGUAAACCAGUGUGAGUGCUGGAAAUCUAUUGGUCCUCAGCAAUAGGAGCAAAUGCUCUUAACGACUGAGUCAUCUCUUUGGCCCUCUCUGCCAUUGAACCUGAAGCUAAAUAAUUGGCCAGGCCUUCUUCUACUCCCUCCAGUCCUCUUGUUUCUGUCAUUCAGUGCCAGGAUUUAAAAGCAGGCUUCCAUAAAAAGUGUGCUUUGGAUCCACACUCAAGUAAUCAUAUUUACAUUGCAAACACUUUAACAACUGAGCCAUCUGCCCAGGCCCAAGAGCAGACCUUUAGAGAAGUUGUUAAAUGAACUUACUAUUUAACUUUAAAUGUUAAAAAAAAAAUGCAUUUAUCUUUUAUUCUACCCCUCAUUGUUUCAGCUCUUUUUAAAAAUUUGAUCGACAGCCAGAGCUACACAGAGAAACACUGUCUCAAAAAAACAAAACAAAGGGGCUGGAGAAAUGACUCAGGGGUUAAGAGGACCCAGGUUCAGUUUCAAGCACCUACAUGAUAGCUUCUAACUGUAAUUCCAGCUCUAGAGGAUCUGGCACCCUCACACAGACAUACAUGCAGGCAAAACACCAAUGGACAUAAAAUAAGAUUCUU